CUACUGGGGUUUCUAAUCCUGUUUGCUCCCCACGCUUUCGCACCUCAGCGUCAGUGUCGAGCCAGUGAGCCGCCUUCGCCACUGGUGUUCCUCCGAAUAUCUACGAAUUUCACCUCUACACUCGGAAUUCCACUCACCUCUCUCGAACUCAAGACCACCAGUCUCGAAGGCCAUUCCGGGGUUGAGCCCCGGGAUUUCACCCCCGACUUGAUGAUCCGCCUACGCGCGCUUUACGCCCAGUCAUUCCGAACAACGCUAACCCCCUCCGUAUUACCGCGGCUGCUGGCAC
rnacentral:rRNA from 1 species